rnacentral:rRNA from 1 species
ACGAACGCUGGCGGCAGGCUUAACACAUGCAAGUCGAACGCACCUUUCGGGGUGAGUGGCAGACGGGUGAGUAACGCGUGGGAAUCUACCCUUCUCUACGGGAUAGCUCCGGGAAACUGGAAUUAAUACCGUAUACGUCCUGUGGGAGAAAGAUUUAUCGGGGAAGGAUGAGCCCGCGUUGGAUUAGCUAGUUGGUGGGGUAAAGGCCUACCAAGGCGACGAUCCAUAGCUGGUCUAAGAGGAUGAUCAGCCACAUUGGGACUGAGACACGGCCCAAACUCCUACGGGAGGCAGCAGUGGGGAAUAUUGGACAAUGGGCGCAAGCCUGAUCCAGCCAUGCCGCGUGAGUGAUGAAGGCCCUAGGGUUGUAAAGCUCUUUCAGUGGGGACGAUAAUGACGGUACCCACAGAAGAAGCCCCGGCUAACUUCGUG